AUGGCGAGUCAGUCGCAGGGCAUCCAGCAGCUACUGCAGGCCGAGAAGCAGGCCCACAAGCGAAAGAACUGGAGGCUGAAGCAGGCCAAAGAAGCCCAGGCUGAAAUUGAACAGUACCGCCUGCAGGGGGAGGAGUUCAAGGCCAAGGAAGCUGCGGUACUGGGCUCCCAUGGCAGCUGCAGCAGUGAGGUGGAAAAGGAGACCCGGGAGAAGAUGACCGUCCUCCAGAACUACUUCGAGCAGAACAGGGAUGAAGUCCUGGAUAACCUCUUGGCCUUUGUGUGUGACAUCGGCCGGAAAUCCAUGAAAACUACUGCAUAAACGGAUAG
rnacentral:lncRNA from 1 species